UUUACUAACAGUGUUCACAGCAAAUAAUAUAUCAUACCAAAUAGUCAUACCUAAUAAAAAUUCAAAGUUUUCCAACUCAUAUGUUGCUAAACAUUUAGCUUCACUCUUUGUUUUAGGCUCUUCACCAAAUUCUGCCAAUUGGAGUAAAGCAUCUCUAAUUUGUGCGGCUUGAAACCUUAUUGUUUUAACACUUUCUAUGUGACUUUCCCAACGAGUUUGUGAUAAUGAUUUAACAGUUAAAUUAGGUACAUGAUCUUUUAAAAUUUUCCAUCUCUUUGUUGAAGAAGAAAACAAUGAAUAAAUACGUUGUAAAACUCCAAAAAACGAAGUAGCUUUAGAACAAGAAUUA
rnacentral:lncRNA from 1 species